rnacentral:tRNA from 1 species
AAUAUGGUGCCUGACUAAAGGAUAGCACUGAUAAAGCUAAUCAUGUAGCGUUACUGCUACCCAUAUUA